rnacentral:rRNA from 1 species
UACGUAGGGUGCGAGCGUUGCCCGGAUUUAUUGGGCGUAAAGGGCGUGUAGGCGGCCAACUAAGUCCGACGUGAAAUCCCAGGCUUAACCUGGGAACUGCGUCGGAUACUGGAUGGCUUGAAUCCGGGAGAGGGAUGCAGAAUUCCAGGUGUAGCGGUGAAAUGCGUAGAUAUCUGGAGGAAUACCGGUGGCGAAGGCGGCAUCCUGGACCGGCAUUGACGCUGAAGCGCGAAAGCUAGGGGAGCAAACGGG